rnacentral:rRNA from 1 species
GACAGAGGGUGCAAACGUUGUUCGGAAUUAUUGGGCGUAAAGGGCGCGUAGGCGGUGCGGUAAGUCACCUGUGAAAUCUCCUGGCUCAACUGGGAGCUUGCAGGCGAAACUGCCGUGCUGGAGUGUGGGAGAGGUGCGUGGAAUUCCUGGUGUAGCGGUGAAAUGCGUAGAUAUCGAGAGGAACACCAGUGGCGAAGGCGAGUCCCUGGACAGGUCCUGACGCUGAGGCACGAAAGCUAGGGGAGCAAACAGG